rnacentral:RNase_P_RNA from 1 species
AAGGCAGGCUUUCCUGUCGCUACGGUCCAGGAGAUCGGAGAGGAAAGUCCGGGCAACACAGGGCAGCAUACUUCCUAACGGGAAGCUGUUUUGCAGCAGCAAAACAAGAGCAAGUGCCACAGAAAACAACCGCCCUGCCUUGUGCAGGGUAAGGGUGAAAACGUGAGGUAAGAGCUCACGGCUUGCGCGGGUGACCGCGUAAGGGGGUAAACCUUAUGCGUUGAAAGACCAAAUAUACCGGGGCUUGAGGGCUGCCCGCCCAAUCCCGGAGGGUAGGUCGUUGGAGGGCAGGUGUGAAUCUGCUCCCGGAUAAAUGACAGGAGUUCCGCAACUGCGGAAUACAGAACCCGGCUUAUAAGCCUGCCUUUUUU